rnacentral:tRNA from 1 species
GCGGACAUAGCUCAGUUGGUAGAGCGCAACUUUGCCAAGGUUGAGGUCGCGAGUUCGAGUCUCGUUGUCCGCU